CCCCUCUCGGCCGCACCUCUCUUCUCUCUCUCUCCGACCCAUCUCUUUCUCGUCUUCCCUCUGCCAUCACCGGAAACACAGCGCCCGGCCACCAGCUCUUGUCGCCGCCACCCCCAAUCGAUUCGGCACCCAAAUCCGACCCAAGCCCAAGCCUCACCAUCGACAUGCACCGCCGGCAGCCUCCACACUCGACAACCCAAGACUGCGCGCCACUGUUCCUCGACUCUCACCGAUCUCUGAACCUUUUCUAUUACCCACUACCGCCACCAACGAGCUCAGAGCAAGCUUUUUAUCAACACUCCAAAGCCUCGCCGCUGACCCAAAGCUGGAGAAUGCCGUGCGCGCCUUCGCCGGCGAUCUGGUUUCUACAAAGCUAGGUUUACCAUCUCCGGCCACGAUUGAGCCAAACCACCACCAUAGAUGGAGUCAGCGUUUUGUUGUUCGCCAAAACCCCAUGGUUUCGAUCUCUAGUUCCAGCCAGAACUCCUGCAUGCGCCGCGUGGAUAACCGUAGCUCUGCAUUUGGACAUUCAAAGAGUCUUGAUUGGGUAAUUUUCGUCACCUCUCCUUGGAUUAAGCCUUUUGGUUGAUAUAAACCGAAAACCCUAAUUUAUGUUGUCUGAUUUGGAAUGUGAGGGAUUUGGAAUCUGUGUUUUGGGAGAUUUUAGAGAACCCUGAGCUUUGGAUUUUGCGAAUUUGAAGUUUUGGAGAAAAGAAACUGUUGGAUCAAUCUCCAUUGAAAAUGGAUUAAGGUGUUCCAAAACAGUUGUCGAUUGGGGAAUGCAGCUACUACGAAUUGGUUUCUAUUUUGGAAAAGAAGAAGUAGUAAGUAUUGGUCUCUAACAAGCUACGGGAUUUGGUGUGGUAAUUGUAUUUUGAAAUGAAACCCGGUUAUGCUGCUUGAAUGGUUAAUGCUUAAAUAUGAAACUGAUUUUGUUGGAAACUUGGCUUGAAUGAACGAAUGUGAAUUAGCUUAUUGCAAAUUGAGGAUUGGCUUUGUUUAAUUAAAGAAGUGAGUUUGUUAUAAAUUUUGGAGAGGUAGUAAUGCAAGGUGGACAAAGAAUGGUUAAUUUGGUGAGCUCUUUAAGAAGCUAGUAAUAAGGAAACUAAGAGAAUUGAGAGUGGAAAUUGGUAGUAGAAACGGUAACCUUUAUGUGAUUAAGUGAAAUUGGGAUAUUGGAUUCCGAUAAAUGAAGUAAA